rnacentral:rRNA from 1 species
CCUACGGGUGGCAGCAGUGGGGAAUAUUGCACAAUGGGGGAAACCCUGAUGCAGCAACGCCGCGUGUGGGAAGAAGGUUUUCGGAUUGUAAACCACUGUUCUUGGUGAAGAUAAUGACGGUAACCAAGGAGAAAGCUCCGGCUAACUACGUGCCAGCAGCCGCGGUAAUACGUAGGGAGCAAUCGUUGUCCGGAUUUACUGGGUGUAAAGGGUGCGUAGGCGGGGUUGCAAGUCAGAUGUGAAAACCACGGGCUCCACCGGCGGACUGCGUUUGAAACUGUGGGGCGUGAGUGAAGUAGAGGUCGGCGGAAUUCCUGGUGGAGCGGUGAAAUGCGUAGAGAUCGGGAGGAACACCAGUGGCGAAGGCGGCCGACUGGUCUUUAACUGACGCUGAGGCACGAAAGCAUGGGUAGCAAACAGGAUUAGAUACCCCAGUAGUC